UAUAGGACAGUGAUGAGGAAUAGUAAGUUGUGCCGAGUUUUUAGAGAGUUUACGUUUGGUGUGAGUAAAUAACGAGGGCAACUGAAUCCGCCUUUGAGUCUAUUGUUUUAAAGAGAGUCUAUUUGUAGACUAAUUAGGGUGGCAACGCGGGUCUUCUCGUCCCUUUG
rnacentral:ncRNA from 1 species